rnacentral:lncRNA from 1 species
ACACCCUGUGCUAGAAAACUGGCUGAGAAACUGCACUAUGAACUUUGUUUCUAACAAUUCUGCUGCUGCGCUUUGACUGAUGUUCCACCAACAAAUCAGAUCAUAGUUUGUACUUCUAAUUGCAGCCACUGUAACAGUAUCUUUACGCAGUCUUUCCAUUCCAUCUCAAGAGUGUCCUCCUAGCCUCGCCUUUUUCCUAUUUAAUAUCUCCUGCACAACCUCUUCAGAAAUAAUUGGUAGUUUGAAAUGAGCUGAACUUAUGCUGCAAGGGGAGAUUCUGGAGCACAGAUAUCGUGGGUGGGAUUUCCACGCCCAGUCUGUGGAGACAGCACAUAACCUGGGACACAGAAAGAAGAGUGAAGAAACAUCACCUAAAAUCCUUAGAAAAGGAAGAACCAGUGUAAAAGGAAUCGGUUCUAGAAUUUGCAUUCUCUAAACAUAAGUCAGACACUGAUGCAUCUCUUAACAUACUGCAUAUAAUGUGGAAAUCAAAGAUCAAUUGCUUUUUGCUUCUAUUGUAAUGCUAGCCCUAAGAUCUUCUAAAACUGUGAUGUAAGCUGUGCAGUGAUUUCCAUUUCUUUUUCCUGCAAAAGCUUCAAAAAACCCUUUGUGAACCAAGAUGAAUUACCACAGAGAACAUAAUUCUAAGAAGUUUUUCCAGUAUUAGAAUAAUCCCA